rnacentral:rRNA from 1 species
AUACGGAGGAUGCGAGCGUUAUCCGGAUUUAUUGGGUUUAAAGGGAGCGUAGGCGGGAGCUUAAGUCAGCGGUUAAAUGGUGCGGCUCAACCGUGCCCUGCCGUUGAAACUGGGUUUCUUGAGAGUGCAAGAGGCGGAUGGAAUUCAUGGUGUAGCGGUGAAAUGCUUAGAUAUCAUGAAGAGCUCCGAUUGCGAAGGCAGUCCGCUGGGGUACGUCUGACGCUGAUGCUCGAAGGUGCGGGAAUCAAACAGGAUUAGAUACCCUGGUAGUCCGCACGGUAAACGAUGAUUACCCGCUGUCGGCGGCAGACAGUCGGCGGCCAAGCGAAAGCGAUAAGUAAUCCACCUGGGGAGUGCGCCGGCAACGGUGAAACUCAAAUGAAUUGGCGGGG